CCCACAAUGGCAGGAGACACCAUGAGAUGUUUUCUACUGUAGAAACUUUCUCAUUAGAAAUAGCCCAUUUAUACAGGGGACUGGCUAAUGUUUUUCUAUGAGUAUCAUUAGCCAGUGUCUCAAAGUGGUGAAGAGUAAGUAUAUAGCAUCUUUCAAAAGACUGCAACCUGGAACAAGGAGAGACAAAGGGAAGGAGGAGUCUGGAGCCAUAUUGAAGAUGAAAUUGAGAUAUGGACUAGGUGGUGGAUCGUUUUUAUAAGAGGACAUAAAAGAGGAUGCUAAAGCUAAUUGCCACAAUCAGAACUCAAAGACCUAGCAAAUGCAAGGAUACAAUAAGAAGUCAGCAGUCUGCAACCCAGAAGAGGACCCUCACUGGAACCCAGGAAUGUUGGCACUCUGAACUUAGAUUUUCCAGCCUCUAGAAUGCCUUAUGCAAAUCCUGGAAGAUAUCAAUUCUGAGGGCUGGGGUGUAUCUUGAUCACCUUUGGAAUCUACCACUGCAUGGAGCACAGCACUUACCACCUAGUAGGUAAGCAACAAAUGCUUGCUUGUCAAUUGAUUUAUUCAGUAGACUCAGUGCUAUGUGUACAUUAAACACCUGGGGAGCUUUAAACAAUAAACGAGCAAACCAACAAAUGCUGCAUCAGCCUAGACCAACACAAUCCUGAUCUCUGGAUGUGGGAUCCCCGCACUGUUCUGUUUGUUUCCAAGUUUGGAAGAAACAUAAUUGAAUCAUUUUGAGGAAUUCCAAUCCCUGACAAGAUGCCAGUGCUAUUUUACAGCAAGAGUAGACGAGGAAGGCUAUACUACGUGGUCCUGGGCAAGUUAUUUAAAUUCUCUGUGCCUCAGUUUUCUGAACCGUAAGAUGGGAAGAAUAAUAGUAACUACCUCUGGAGGCUGUUGUAAAAGUUAAAUGAUCUGAUCUAUGUAAAGCACUUAGAACAGUACCUGGUAUAUAAGUGUGUGAUAAAUAAAAUCCAAUAUGAAGAAGAGGA
rnacentral:lncRNA from 1 species